CGGGAUGUAGCUCAGUUUGGUAGAGUGCCACAUUUGGGGUGUGGAUGCCGUAGGUUCAAGUCCUGCCAUCCCGA
rnacentral:tRNA from 2 species